rnacentral:tRNA from 1 species
GCUGUGGCUCAGUGGCAGAGUAUCUGCUUCGCUUGUACAAGGUUCCAGGUUCAAUCCCCAGCAUCUCCA